GCAGGGCUGCGGGCGGCCGUGACCCUGGUGGAGUCCGGGGGUGACCUCAAGGCCCCGGGGGAGUCCCUGCGGCUCCUCUGCCGCGCCUCCGGCUUCACCUUCGCCAGCUACUCCAUGUACUGGGUGCGCCAGAGCCCCGGGAAGGGGCUGGAAUGGGUUGCUGGGAUCUACAGCAGUGGUGGUAGCACCUACUAUGCGCCGUCGGUGAAGGGCCGGUUCACCAUCGCCAGGGACAACGGGCAGAGCUCGGUGACGCUGCAGAUGAACAACCUCAGGGAGGAGGAUUCCGCCACCUAUUUCUGCGCCAGAAGUGCUGAUGGCAAUGCUGUUAUGGGUGAUGAUAUCGACGUC